GAAGUCUUCUAGUCCAUAUACUAAAAUUGGAGUGAUACAGAGAAGAUUAGCAUGGCCCCUGCAUAAGGAUGACAUGCAUCCUCUCUGUUAAUGCAGCCUAGGAUUUUUUU